GUCCUUGUAGCGCAUUGGAUAGCGCGUUGGCCUUCUGAUCCAAAGGUGCCGGGUUCGAAUCCCGGCAGGGAUG
rnacentral:tRNA from 1 species